rnacentral:rRNA from 1 species
AUUGAACGCUGCGGCAGGCUUAACACAUGCAAGUCGAGCGAGCGGCGGACGGGUGAGGAAUGCUUAGGUAUCUGCAUAUGAGUGGGGGACAACAUCUCGAAAGGGAUGCUAAUACCGCAUACUUAUACAUGAGCCUAAGUCGGAUUAGCUAGGUGGUGGGGGAAAGGCCGACCAAGGCGACGAUGUGUAGCGGGUCUGAGAGGAUGAUCCGCCACACUGGGAAUGAGACACGGCCCAGACUCCAACGGGAGGCAGCAGUGGGGAAUAUUGGACAAAGGGGGGAAGCCUGAUCCAGCCAUGCCGCGUGUGUGAAGAAGGCGUGCGGGUUGUAAAGAACUUGCAGCGGGGAGGCGUUACCCGAAGAAGAAGCAACGGCUAACUCCGUGCCAGCCGCCGCGGUAAUUC